rnacentral:rRNA from 2 species
UACGAAGGUCCCGAGCGUUGUUCGGAAUCACUGGGCGUAAAGGGAGCGUAGGCGGCGCGGUAAGUCAGAUGUGAAAUCCCGGGGCUCAACCCCGGAACUGCAUCCGAUACUGCCGUGCUAGAGGAUUGGAGAGGUAGCUGGAAUUCUUGGUGUAGCAGUGAAAUGCGUGGAUAUCAAGAGGAACACUCGUGGCGAAAGCGAGCUACUGGACAACUCCUGACGCUGAGGCUCGAAGGCCAGGGUAGCGAAAGGG